rnacentral:rRNA from 1 species
AUGGCUUGCAUUUUGCCCCCCUUCAUCUAUUUCCGUGCCCGUGGGUUUGUUAGGGUUGCCGACAUGAACACUGCAGAAAGUUCGUCGGGUUAUCCAGGUGGGCAUGGGGUUAGGCAUCCACGAGGAUUUCCACAUGGAUGGGCAUGUCGUCCAUCAAUAGUUGAUUCUGCUCCUCAAUCAAACUUAAUGUUGCCACCAAGAACUGUCGUAGGCAUGUUGUGUUCCAUCAAAUACGGCGUUUUCUUCCGUACAAUAUGUCUUGACAUCCAUUUCAUAAUCUGCUUCUUCGCAUCGAUGAAGCAACUUCCUAUAAAGAGGAACAUCUAG